UACGAAGGGGGCUAGCGUUGCUCGGAAUUACUGGGCGUAAAGGGCGCGUAGGCGGACAUUUAAGUUAGAGGUGAAAGCCCAGGGCUCAACCCUGGAAUAGCCUUUAAUACUGGAUGUCUUGAGUUCGGGAGAGGUGAGUGGAAUGCCGAGUGUAGAGGUGAAAUUCGUAGAUAUUCGGCGGAACACCAGUGGCGAAGGCGGCGACCUGGGUAGAUACUGACGCUGAGGCGCGAAAGCGUGGGGAGCAAACAGG
rnacentral:rRNA from 1 species